rnacentral:misc_RNA from 1 species
ACGCCACCAAACCCCGUGUGUGAAACAAAAAGGUAACUCCCUUCGCAGUCAUCUUUGCAACACUGGAUUGCAUCAACAUCAGAAGCUAAAGCCUCCCUCUCUCUAGUUAAUGGUAUCCUCCUAUAUGUUAUAUUAUAGCCCUCAUCUUUUAGGGCAGCAUAAACUUCAGCUGGUGUCUUCACAUCAUCUGCAAAGAUGUUUUCCCAGUAUCCUAUGACACUGGACUGGUUUGUUGCUGGGUUAUAUUCUUCACGAUGUAAAAGCAUUCUUCCUCCAGAUUGCCUCACCUCAGAUACUAUAUCCUCUUUUAGUCGUGCCUCCAUAUGUUCUACCAUGGGACCAGUAAUUCCAACAUGCUUGAGUGUAUCAACAGGUUUAUGCAACUCCCUGAGGACAAAUGGUAUGCCAUUAAUGUAAACAACUGCUUCUUCUCUGAGAUCGGUCAAUAUCACUUUAUGAGCAAAUGAUCCUUCUACCUUGGGCUUGGCACCCAAAUAUGCGAGCAUCUCUUUAGCACCAGCAAUUGUUGG